GGUUGAGAUACCUUCAUGAAGAGUGUAGAGUUGGUUGCAUUGUUCAUAGGGAUAUGCGUCCUAAUAACAUUCUCCUCACUCAUGACUUUGAGCCUUUGGUUGGAGAUUUUGGACUAGCGAGAUGGCAACCAGAAGGUGAUAAAGGAGUGGAGACAAGAGUAAUUGGAACUUUCGGGUACUUGGCACCUGAAUAUACACAAAGUGGACAGAUUACAGAGAAAGCAGAUGUGUACUCUUUU